UACGAAGGGGGCUAGCGUUGCUCGGAAUCACUGGGCGUAAAGGGUGCGUAGGCGGGUUCUAAGUCAGAGGUGAAAGCCUGGAGCUCAACUCCAGAACUGCCUUUGAUACUGGAAGUCUUGAGUAUGGCAGAGGUGAGUGGAACUGCGAGUGUAGAGGUGAAAUUCGUAGAUAUUCGCAAGAACACCAGUGGCGAAGGCGGCUCACUGGGCCAUUACUGACGCUGAUACGCGAAAGCGUGGGGAGCAAACAGG
rnacentral:rRNA from 1 species